GCGGGCGUGGUUCAGUUGGUAGAACGUCUCCUUGCCAAGGAGAAGGUCGUGGGUUCGAGUCCCAUCGCCCGCUCAA
rnacentral:tRNA from 3 species